rnacentral:sRNA from 1 species
UCAGUGACGAUGUCAGUGGGACAACCAA